rnacentral:rRNA from 1 species
AGCGAACGCUGGCGGCAGGCCUAACACAUGCAAGUCGAACGGAUCCUUCGGGAUUAGUGGCGGACGGGUGAGUAACACGUGGGAACGUGCCCUUUGGUUCGGAACAACUAAGGGAAACUUGAGCUAAUACCGGAUGUGCCCUUCGGGGGAAAGAUUUAUCGCCAUUGGAGCGGCCCGCGUCUGAUUAGCUAGUUGGUGAGGUAAAGGCUCACCAAGGCGACGAUCAGUAGCUGGUCUGAGAGGAUGAUCAGCCACAUUGGGACUGAGACACGGCCCAAACUCCUACGGGAGGCAGCAGUGGGGAAUCUUGCGCAAUGGGCGAAGCCUGACGCAGCCAUGCCGCGUGAAUGAUGAAGGUCUUAGGAUUGUAAAAUUCUUUCACCGGGGACGAUAAUGACGGUACCCGGAGAAGAAGCCCCGGCUAACUUCGUGCCAGCAGCCGCCGUAA